AUACGUAGGUGGCAAGCGUUGUCCGGAAUUAUUGGGCGUAAAGCGCGCGCAGGUGGUUCCUUAAGUCUGAUGUGAAAGCCCCCGGCUCAACCGGGGAGGGUCAUUGGAAACUGGGGAACUUGAGUGCAGAAGAGGAUAGUGGAAUUCCAAGUGUAGCGGUGAAAUGCGUAGAGAUUUGGAGGAACACCAGUGGCAAAGGCGACUGUCUGGUCUGUAACUGACCCUGAGGCGCGAAAGCGUGGGGAGCAAACAGGAUUAGAUACCCUGGUAGUCCACGCCGUAAACGAUGAGUGCUAAGUGUUGGGGGGUUUCCGCCCCUCAGUGCUGCAGCUAACGCAUUAAGCACUCCGCCUGGGGAGUACGGUCGCAAGACUGAAACUCAAAGGAAUUGACGGGG
rnacentral:rRNA from 1 species